GCAGCCUGAUGCAGCAACGCCGCGUGAGGGAUGACGGCCUUCGGGUUGUAAACCUCUUUUAGUAGGGAAGAAGCGAAAGUGACGGUACCUGCAGAAAAAGCACCGGCUAACUACGUGCCAGCAGCCGCGGUAAUACGUAGGGUGCAAGCGUUGUCCGGAAUUAUUGGGCGUAAAGAGCUCGUAGGCGGUUUGUCGCGUCUGCUGUGAAAUCUGGGGGCUCAACCCCCAGCCUGCAGUGGGUACGGGCAGACUAGAGUGCGGUAGGGGAGAUUGGAAUUCCUGGUGUAGCGGUGGAAUGCGCAGAUAUCAGGAGGAACACCGAUGGCGAAGGCAGAUCUCUGGGCCGUAACUGACGCUGAGGAGCGAAAGCAUGGGGAGCGAACAGGAUUAGAUACCCUGGUAGUCCAUGCCGUAAACGUUGGGAACUAGAUGUGGGGGCCAUUCCACGGUCUCCGUGUCGCAGCUAACGCAUUAAGUUCCCCGCCUGGGGAGUACGGCCGCAAGGCUAAAACUCAAAGGAAUUGACGGGGGCCCGCACAAGCGGCGGAGCAUGCGGAUUAAUUCGAUGCAACGCGAAGAACCUUACCAAGGCUUGACAUAUACCGGAAACGUCCAGAGAUGGUCGCCCCGCAGGUCGG
rnacentral:rRNA from 1 species